rnacentral:rRNA from 1 species
UCUGGGUAAGGNGCCAGCGGUAAUAAACCAAUGUAAUCCCGGGCUCAACCUGGAACUGCAUUAGUACUGANAGUAAAUGCGGCAAAGGGAAUGAAUUCCGCGUGUANCAGUGAAAUGCGUAAUAUCGAAGAACCCCGAUGNCGAAGCCAAUCCCNUGGGCCUGCAUNACGCUCAUGCACGAAAGCGUGGNAGCAACAGAUUAGAUACCNUGGUAGUCCACGCCNUAACGAUGUCAACUGGUUGUUGGUCUUCACUGACUCAGUAACGAAGCUAACGCGUAAGUUGACCGCCUGGGGAGUACGGCCGCAAGGUUAAAACUCAAAGAAUUGACGGGGACCCGCACAAGCGGUGGAUGAUGUGGUUUAAUUCGAUGCAACGCGAAAAACCUUACCCACCUUUGACAUGUACGGAAGAUCGCAGAGACGCGAUUGUGCUCGAAAGAGAGCCGUAACACAGGUGCUGCAUGGCUGUCGUCAGCUCGUGUCGUGAGAUGUUGGGUUAAGUCCCGCAACGAGCGCAACCCUUGCCAUUAGUUGCUACAUUCAGUUGGGCACUCUAAUGGGACUGCCGGUGACAAACCGGAGGAAGGUGGGGAUGACGUCAAGUCCUCAUGGCCCUUAUAGGUGGGGCUACACACGUCAUACAAUGGCUGGUACAAAGGGUUGCCAACCCGCGAGGGGGAGCUAAUCCCAUAAAGCCAGUCGUAGUCCGGAUCGUAGUCUGCAACUCGACUACGUGAAGUCGGAAUCGCUAGUAAUCGUGGAUCAGAAUGUCACGGUGAAUACGUUCCCGGGUCUUGUACACACCGCCCGUCACACCAUGGGAGCGGGUUCUGCCAGAAGUAGGUAGCCUAACCGUAAGGAGGGCGCUUACCACGGCAGGGUUCGUGACUGGGGUGAAGUCGUAACAAGGUAACC